rnacentral:rRNA from 1 species
GACAGAGGUUGCAAACGUUGUUCGGAAUUACUGGGCAUAAAGCGCACGUAGGUGGUCCGCUAAGUCGUGUGUGAAAUACCCCGGCUCAACCGGGGAAUUGCGCACGAUACUGGCGGGCUCGAGGUCGGGAGGGGUGAGUGGAACUCCUGGUGGAGCGGUGAAAUGCGUAGAUAUUGGGAGGAACACCGGUGGCGAAGGCGGCCCCCUGGACCGGUACUGACGCUGAGGCGCGAAAGCGUGGGUAGCAAACGGG